GUCUCAGUGGCAUAGUGGUUAGUGCACAGCCCCGGAUAGGUUGAAACGCGGGUUCGACUCCCGCCUGAGAUG
rnacentral:tRNA from 1 species